rnacentral:rRNA from 1 species
GGAUCCAGACUUUGAUUCUGGCUCAGGACGAACGCUGGCGGCGUGCUUAACACAUGCAAGUCGAACGAGAAUCUACUGAAAGAGUUUUCGGACAAUGGAUGUAGAGGAAAGUGGCGGACGGGUGAGUAACGCGUGAGGAACCUGCCUUGAAGAGGGGGACAACAGUUGGAAACGACUGCUAAUACCGCAUGACGCAUAGAGGUCGCAUGAUCUUUAUGCCAAAGAUUUAUCGCUUCAAGAUGGCCUCGCGUCUGAUUAGCUGGUUGGCGGGGUAACGGCCCACCAAGGCGACGAUCAGUAGCCGGACUGAGAGGUUGAACGGCCACAUUGGGACUGAGAUACGGCCCAGACUCCUACGGGAGGCAGCAGUGGGGAAUAUUGGGCAAUGGGCGCAAGCCUGACCCAGCAACGCCGCGUGAAGGAAGAAGGCUUUCGGGUUGUAAACUUCUUUUAAGAGGGAAGAGCAGAAGACGGUACCUCUAGAAUAAGCCACGGCUAACUACGUGCCAGCAGCCGCGGUAAUACGUAGGUGGCAAGCGUUGUCCGGAUUUACUGGGUGUAAAGGGCGUGCAGCCGGGUCUGCAAGUCAGAUGUGAAAUCCAUGGGCUCAACCCAUGAACUGCAUUUGAAACUGUAGAUCUUGAGUGUCGGAGGGGCAAUCGGAAUUCCUAGUGUAGCGGUGAAAUGCGUAGAUAUUAGGAGGAACACCAGUGGCGAAGGCGGAUUGCUGGACGAUAACUGACGGUGAGGCGCGAAAGUGUGGGGAGCAAACAGGAUUAGAUACCCUGGUAGUCCACACUGUAAACGAUGAAUACUAGGUGUGCGGGGACUGACCCCCUGCGUGCCGCAGUAAACACAAUAAGUAUUCCACCUGGGGAGUACGAUCGCAAGGUUGCAACUCAAAUGAAUUGACGG